rnacentral:rRNA from 1 species
AUUGAACGCUGGCGGCAAGCCUAAUACAUGCAAGUCGAACGAGUGGCGGACGGGUGAGUAAUGUCUGGGAAACUGCCUGAUGGAGGGGGAUCACUACUGGAAACGGUAGCUAAUACCGCCUACUAUCGGAUGUGCCCAGAUGGGAUUAGCUAGUAGGUGGGGUAAAGGCUCACCUGGGUGACGAUCCCUCGCUGGUCUGAGAGGAUGACCAGCCACACUGGAACUGAGCCACGUUCCAGACUCCUACGGGAGGCAGCAGUGGGGAAUAUUGCACAAUGGGCGCAAGCCUGAGGCAGCCAUGCCGCGGGUAUGAAAAAGGCCUUCGGGUUGUAAAGUACUUUCAGCGGGGAGGCGUUACCCGCAGAAGAAGCACCGGCUAACUCCGUGCCAGCAGCCGCGGUAAUUC